rnacentral:rRNA from 1 species
AACAGCCCAUCGCCUAGUCCGCCGCUACCCUAGCGGAACGGAGAUUCGGCGUUAAGGAGAGACUCCUCCCGGCGCGGCCUGCGGUGCAAGUCCCCCUGACUGGGGCUCCCACCCCGAGAGGGUGCAAGGCCCGUAGCCGCCGCGAGGCCGUCCGGGACGUCCUCUCCCGGGAGUCGGGUUGCUUGAGAGUGCAGCCCUAAUCAGGUGGUAAACUCCAUCUAAGGCUAAAUACGACCUGGAGACCGAUAGCGAACAAGUACCGUGAGGGAAAGUUGAAAAGGACUUUGAAGAGAGAGUUCAAGAGUACGUGAAACCGUUCGGAGGUAAACGAGUGGGCCCUCGAAGAGAGAAGGCGGGGGGACUCAGCCGAACGCCCGGGCCGGCCUCACUGUCCGCGCUUCCCGCCAGGGACGCGGCUGGGAGAUCGAUCGCUCGGGUUUGCGGCGCAUUUCUUCCCGUCCUCCGACGCUGCGACCGGUCGGGCAGCUCUACGAGCAGUCGGCCUUACUCGCGGGAGCCGGCAGGUAGCCGGGUCGACGCUACGGUGCCGCCCCGGUCUCUGGCCGUCCCGUCAUCGAGUCAGCCGUUCGCCCGACCGCAGGACUUUGGCCCUCCGGGGCCUCGCCGAGGCUUCCCCCCUCCGGGGGGGAUGGGCACUCGUUCCGGGAGAGAGGUCGACGUUGUGAAUCCUGCUUCACCUCAGCGUGUGCAGGUGGCGUUGGCGCUCGCUGGCCGGAGCGUUUCCCAGCGGCCGCAGGCGGUCUGCAGCGA